UAGCCACCUUCCAGGACGGCCCACGGUGAUCCUCACCUCCUCAUACCCAUGCCCUUGCGCAGUCCCCUCUCACACUGAAUAGGGCUGGCCAGCGUGAGCCAGAAAAAAGGCAGAAGUGAGGGUGCAUGACUCCUGAGGCUAGGUCAUAGAGUACAGCACAGCUUCUGUCUUGGUCUCUCAAGUCACUUGCUCUUGGGGCAGCCAGCCCCAGAGUUGUGAGGUCACCCACAAUCCUGUGAGAGGAGCUGAGGCCUCCCACCAAGAACCAACCCCAACUUGCCAGCCACCUUGGAAAUGGAGCCUCCGACCGCAGUCAGACCUUCAGAUGAAGGGCUGCCUUCAGCCCUGGCCACUACCUGACUUUGACCUUGCGGGAGACCAGAACUGCCCAGGCAAGCUGCUCCCAAACCCCUGACCCACACAGAAGGUCGAAGAAAUAUAUGUAAAAGCCUACGUCCAAACAGGCUAAUAACUUGUUCGAGUCACACAGAAGCUAGUGGCUGAGCUGGGAUUGAAACCCAGGUCUCCGAGGCUGUGCACAGCCAGCACACUCUGCAUCAGGACAGAAAUCACAGUGUCCAGAUCCAAGACCAGCAGCUUCUCCCAAGGCCACGUGAAGAGCCAAGGAAGCCAGACGGUGUCGGGAACAGGCACUGUGCCCGGCGGGACCAAUGAGCACAGCUUCGCUGGAGGGCAACAGCCAUGCCAGUCAAAAUUCGAAGUGCACACACCCAUGUAAACCACCAAUCUCAGCAGCAGAAAUAUAUCUUACUGAUGUAUCUGCACACAUGGGAAAUAGCGCCUGUUCCAGGUUCUUCAUUGCAGCUUUGCUCAGCGUGGACAGAAACGUCAAACUUAGAUGUCUCACAAUAUGUUGAAUACAUUAUAGUCCAUUCACACUACAGAAUAUGGAGGGUAAAAAAAAUAAGACGUGCAAAUCAGAUAUGGAAAAAGCUCGAAGGUAUGUUAUGUGAAAAAAGAGCUAGACAGUACAAUUUUGUGUGUGUGGUUUUUUUUUUAAACCAAUGUACACAUAGGUGUAUGCUUAUGAAUGGCAUGAGAAAUUUCUGGAAGGCUUACAAGAAACUGUUAGCAAUGUUUGCCUCUGGGGAGGGUUCUGGGCUAGGAACAGGCACUUAUUUUUCACUGUACAGAUAUAUUGUUCUGUACUUUUUAAAUUUUUUACUUUGUGCAUGAAUUUAUUUUCAGUAAAGUUUUUGGAGACUUCCAGUCAA